rnacentral:tRNA from 1 species
GAAGGAUUAGUUAAAAUAUAACAUCAGAAUGUCAAACUGAAGUAAUCAGAAAGGUAUCCUUCU